UUGGCCCUGAAUCAAGGCCAGCACCUUCCUGAUGCUGUUGGUUUCAAGCAGGAGCCUAAAGAGAUGUCUUUCUGUUGGCCAUUUGAGAACAUGAGCAGUGAAAUGGUCAAUUCAUUAGAAAGAAACAGCU
ensembl:snoRNA